rnacentral:rRNA from 1 species
CGGCGUGCCUAACGCAUGCAAGUCGCACGGGGGCUUCGGCCCUAGUGGCGGACGGGUGAGUAACACGUAGGGACCUGCCCAGAGGUGGGGGACAACUCUCCGAAAGGGGAGCUAAUACCGCAUACGGUCUACGGACCAAAGCAGCAAUGCGCUUCUGGAGGGUCCUGCGGUGGAUUAGCUUGUUGGUGGGGUAACGGCCUACCAAGGCGACGAUCCAUAGCUGGUCUGAGAGGAUGAUCAGCCACACUGGGACUGAGACACGGCCCAGACUCC